rnacentral:lncRNA from 10 species
UAAAAAAAAAAAUCGAUUAAUUUAAAGCCUACCUCAAACCAUGCACAAAACGAAAUAAAAGUGGAUUAGAGAUAUAAAUAGUAAGACAAAAUUACAAAAUUUCUGGAGGAAAAAUAAAAGAAAAUAUUAAUGAUCUUGGAACAGGUAAUAAAAAACAGCAAUUAUAAAAUACAAAGUUCGAAAGCAGGAGUUAACCAAAAUUAAAAUUAAAUCUUUCUUCAAUGAUAUUGUUAAAACUGAGAAGGCAAGCAACAGGCUGGUAGAGCACUAUAUGUGUGUGUGUGUGUUUGUGUGUGUGUGUGUGUAUGUGUAGCUAUAAAAAAUAUAUAAAACUCUUACAAAUAAUUAAUAAUGCAGCAGACAACCCAACAGAAAUAGGCAAACUAUAUGAAUACACAAAUUAUAAACAUUUAUAGCUACCCAAUAAAUAAAUAAAUUGAUGCUCAAUAUCUUUAAACAUCAUGGAAAUUCAAACUCAAAUCAUGAGACACCAUUUUAUACACUGCAGAAUUACUAAAACUACAAUGCCUUAGAAUAUGAAGUGUUAGCAAAGAUGUGAAGAUAAAAAGCCUGUCACAUUUUACUAGUGAGACUGUAAAACUUUGUAACCACUUUGAAAAACAUUUGACGGUCUCUUACAAAUUAAAUAUAUACUUAACAUAAUGACCUAGCAAUUAAGCUCCUAAAUAAUGAUCCAAGAAAAAUACCAAAAAUACAUUCAUAAAAAUCUUUUAAACAAAUUUUCUUAUGAAUAUUAUUUAUAAUACAAUAAUGAAAAACUAAAUAUUUACAAACUGUUGAAUGGAUAAACAAAUUUUGAAAUGUUGAGAAAUGAAAUAAUUUUCAGUGAAAUGAGAAAAACCUACUAAUAUACACAACAUAAAGACAUUAAGAUAAGUCAAAACAGACAUAAAAAUAAUACAUUCUCUAUUAUUCUGUUUAUAUAAAGUACUAGAGUAGUGAAAUCUAAUCUAUAGUGCUAAUUGUCGAAUCUAGUGGUUGCCUGGACUGGUGAUGUUUGAGGAGAUUUCCUGCAAAGUAUUAUGAAGAAAUUUUUGCAGGGAAUAGCUUAGAUGAAACUUGCCUUACUCAAUUUUAUACAUUUGUCAAAACUCAAUGAACUUUAUAUUUUUACUAAGUGCAUUUUGUCAUUUUUACCCAGUGCAGAGACUUCAUUGAAAAUGACCAUAGAAAUAAUCCAUCACCUGCCACAUAUAAAGAAAAUAUUUUCCAAGGCUCCCCUUUGCCUUCCACUGGAAGCUUCUUGAGGUCUUCAACCAGAAGGAGAUGCUGGCACCAUGUUUCUUGUACAACUUGCAAAAUGGUGACAAGGAUUGUACAAAAACAGACUACUUACCUAGUUUUUAUAUGUGAAACAGAAUGUUCAAUUUCUGAAGUAACUGCAUCAUAAACUGAUUGCUAAGGUCUGCUGGAGCUUGCUGGAGGUCCAUUCCAGACCCUGUUUGCCUGGGUAUUACCAGUGGAGGCUGCAGAACAUCAAAGAUUUCUGCCUGUUCCUUCCUGUGGAAGUUUCAUCCCAGAGGAGCACCCACUGGAUUCCAGCCAGGGCUCUCCUUUAUGACAUGUCUGUCGACCCCUGCAGGGAGGUAUCUCCCAGUCAAGAGGCAGGGGGAUCAGGGACCCACUUGAGGAGGCAGUCUGUCUCUUAGCAGAGCUCGAGUACUAUGCUGGGAGAUUAUUGCUUUUUUCAGAGCUGGCAGGCAGGAACGUUUAAGUCUGCUGAAGCUGCACCCACAGCCGCCCCUUCCUGCAGGUACUCAGUCCCAGGGAGAUGGGAGUUUUAUCUAUAAGCUCCUGACUGGGGCUGCUCCCUUUCUUCCAGAGAUGUCCUCCCCUGAGAAGAGGAAUCUAGAGAGGCAGUCUGGCUCCAAUGGCUUUGCGGAGCUGCAGUGAGUUCUGCCCUGUUCAAACUUCCCUAUGGCUUUGUUUACACUGUGAAGGGAAAGCAGCCUACUCAAGUCUCUGUAAUGGCAGAUGCCCCUCACCCCACCAAGCUCAAGCAUCCCAGGUUGACUUCAGACUGUUGUGCUAGCAGCAAGAAUUUCAAGCCAGUGGAUCUCAGCUUGCUGGGCUCUAUGGGAGUGGGAUCCGAUGAACAGGAGCACUUGGCUCUCUGGCUUCAGCCCCCUUUCCAGGGAAGUGAAAGGUUCUGUCUCGCUGGCAUUCCCGGCACCACUGGGGUAUGAAAAAAAACAUACUUCUGCAGCUAGCUGAGUGCCUGCCCAAAUGGCUGCCCAGUUUUGUGCUUGAAACCCAGGGACCUGGUGGUGUAGGCACCUGAGAGAAUCUCCUGGUCUGCAGUUUGCGAAUACCAUGGCAAAAGCAUAGUAUCUGGACCAGAAUACACUGUUUCUCAUGGCACAGUCCCUCAUUGCUUCCCUUGCCUAGGGGAGGGAGUUCCCUGGCCCCUUGGGCUUCCCAAGUGAGGCAAUGCCCCACCCUGCUUCUGCUCUGCCUCUGUUGGCUGCACCCACUGUCUAACCACUCCCAGUGAGAUGAGCUAAGUACCUCAGUUGGAAAUGCAGAAAUCACCCGUCUUCUGCAUUGAUCUCGCUGGGAGCUGCAGAUUGGAGCUAAUCCUAUUUGGCCAUCUUGCCAG